rnacentral:rRNA from 1 species
GACGAGCGCUGGCGGCGUGCUUAACACAUGCAAGUCGAACGGAAAGGCCCUUCGGGGUACUCGAGUGGCGAACGGGUGAGUAACACGUGGGUGAUCUGCCCUGCACUUUGGGAUAAGCCUGGGAAACUGGGUCUAAUACCGAAUAGGACCACGCGCUUCAUGGUGUGUGGUGGAAAGCUUUUGCGGUGUGGGAUGGGCCCGCGGCCUAUCAGCUUGUUGGUGGGGUAAUGGCCUACCAAGGCGACGACGGGUAGCCGGCCUGAGAGGGUGACCGGCCACACUGGGACUGAGAUACGGCCCAGACUCCUACGGGAGGCAGCAGUGGGGAAUAUUGCACAAUGGGCGCAAGCCUGAUGCAGCGACGCCGCGUGAGGGAUGACGGCCUUCGGGUUGUAAACCUCUUUCAAUAGGGACGAAGCGCAAGUGACGGUACCUAUAGAAGAAGCACCGGCCAACUACGUGCCAGCAGCCGCGGUAAUACGUAGGGUGCGAGCGUUGUCCGGAAUUACUGGGCGUAAAGAGCUCGUAGUGGUUUGUCGCGUUGUUCGUGAAAACUCACAGCUUAACUGUGGGCGUGCGGGCGAUACGGGCAGACUAGAGUACUGCGGGGGAGACUGGAAUUCCUGGUGUAGUGGUGGAAUGCGCAGAUAUCAGGAGGAACACCGGUGGCGAAGGCGGGUCUCUGGGCAGUAACUGACGCUGAGGAGCGAAAGCGUGGGGAGCGAACAGGAUUAGAUACCCUGGUAGUCCACGCCGUAAACGGUGGGUACUAGGUGUGGGUUCCUUCCUUGGGAUUCGUGCCGUAGCUAACGCAUUAAGUACCCCGCCUGGGGAGUACGGCCGCAAGGCUAAAACUCAAAGGAAUUGACGGGGGCCCGCACAAGCGGCGGAGCAUGUGGAUUAACUCGAUGCAACGCGAAGAACCAUACCUGGGUUUGACAUGCACAGGACGCCGGCAGAGAUGUCGGUUCCCUUGUGGCCUGUGUGCAGGUGGUGCAUGGCUGUCGUCAGCUCGUGUCGUGAGAUGUUGGGUUAAGUCCCGCAACGAGCGCAACCCUUGUCCUAUGUUGCCAGCGGGUUAUGCCGGGGACUCGUAGGAGACUGCCGGGGUCAACUCGGAGGAAGGUGGGGAUGACGUCAAGUCAUCAUGCCCCUUAUGUCCAGGGCUUCACACAUGCUACAAUGGCCGGUACAAAGGGCUGCGAUGCCGUGAGGUGGAGCGAAUCCUUUCAAAGCCGGUCUCAGUUCGGAUCGGGGUCUGCAACUCGACCCCGUGAAGUCGGAGUCGCUAGUAAUCGCAGAUCAGCAACGCUGCGGUGAAUACGUUCCCGGGCCU